UACGUAGGCAGCAAGCGUUGUUCGGAGUUACUGGGCGUAAAGGGUGUGUAGGCGGUUGGAUAAGUGUGGUGUGAAAUCUCCCGGCUUAACUGGGAGGGUGCGCUACAAACUGUCUGACUAGAGUGUGGGAUGGGUAAGUGGAAUUCCUGGUGUAGCGGUGAAAUGCGCAGAUAUCAGGAGGAACACCGGUGGCGAAGGCGGUGGUCUGGGCCGGCACUGACGCUGAGGAGCGAAAGCGUGGGGAGCAAACAGG
rnacentral:rRNA from 1 species